rnacentral:misc_RNA from 1 species
GGAACACGUUCUUGAGUGAGACAAGCUAUAAUAACAGAUAAACAAAAUACAAUAACAUUGAACAUCAUAUUCAUAAAAACUUCAAAUUUCAGCAACAACACAGUUAGGUAUUCUCCAGAGCAGCAAAAUAAAUAAGCAUUAAUUACAAAAAAUACCCCCUAAGGUCUGCCUUAACCUAAAAUAAACCAUUUUUCUUCCCCCCAAACACACCAUGCCCACUGCCUAUCAUCAUCACUUUCUUUAAGCCAUUGCUGCAAGAUGGUCGAAAUGAUUGGGCAACUCUUUUGGUGGCCUUUAUGUGUGGAAAAUUGGCUGGAGAAGCAUGGAUUGGCAAUGAAAGAACUCAUUUCCUGAAAUUUUUUAUUUAAUGUAUUUUCUGGUUAUUG